GGUAAUUUCUCGAUGUCACUCUCUCGUUUGCAGCAGAUAUUGUUAUAAGGAUUCGCAACUGCGAUUUUUGGAUUUCUUCUUUGGCUCAUGUUUUACUCGAUUUUUGUUAGGUUGAUUAUCUCUUGCUUAGAUAAGCUAUUAUGGUAUAAAUGGGGCGGAGCAGCUCAGAAUCCCCUGUUAAAGCCCGGGGGUCCCCUCGUAGGAGGAGUCCCCCUAGAAGGGAAAGAUCUCCUGUUCGGCACCGUAGUUCAAAUGCAGAGAACCAAUCAAGUCGAAACAGGUCACCUAAACGUGGUAGAUCAAGGUCCCCUGUCUACCGUUCACCUCUAAGGGAGAAACCCUCCAGUCGUAAUAAAUCCCCAAAACAUAGGAAAGUGCCAUCACCUGUGUCACGUUCUCGCUCUCCACUUAAACAAAGAUCAUCUUACCGAAUGAGAUCUCCAAAUAACAUAAGAUCGAGGUCCCCGACAUCUGUUUCACCUGUUAAAGAGAAAUCAUCAUCUCGGAUGAGAUCACCAAAAGGAGUUCAAAACAGAUCUCAAUCACCAGAUAAAAGGAAAGUGUUGGCUCGAACAAUGUCCCCACCGCAUGGUAGAUCAAGGUCUAGUGAUUCUCGCUCUCCAUCUCCACGCAGUAAAAGAUUAAAAAGGGCUAAAGCAGAGCAAGCUGCUGAAAAAGGGAGUGAAAACCAUGGCAGGAAGAAGAGUUACAGAGGCACACAUGAGGAAAAGGAUUUAGACAGGGAUUUGCUAGCUGAGAGAAAUGAUAGACGGCCACAAAGGGAUGCUGUUUCUGGUAGUUCAAAAUCGAGGCACAGACGAUCAUCCUCGCCAUCUGAUCGCCAUCACAGGGGUCAACGAAGAUCAAGAUCGCCUAAUACUGACGAAAGAGAACAUGAUGAGCGGACUACCUCCAGAGAUCUUGAGCAGCGAAAUGGUGACAGUGAUUCAAUAGCUAAGAUGAAGGCUGCUGAAGAGAAAUUGGAAGAAAAGGAAAAACAAAAACCUUCAUUUGAGCUGUCUGGAAAGCUUGCUGCAGAAACUAAUCGGUUCCGAGGCAUAACAUUGCUGUACAGCGAAGAGCCCCCCGAUGCUCGGAAACCAGAUAUAAGGUGGCGAUUGUAUGUAUUCAAAGCCGGUGACGUCCUUAACGAACCCCUUUAUGUGCACCGUCAAAGUUGCUACCUUUUUGGGAGAGAGAGACGGGUUGUCGACAUCCCCACAGACCACCCUUCUUGCAGCAAACAACAUGCUGUUCUUCAGUAUCGGCAAAUAGAAGAGGAGAACCCCGACGGUACUGUAUCAAAACGAGUGAGGCCUUAUUUGAUGGAUCUUGGAAGCACGAACGGGACCUUCAUUAACGACAACCAAAUCGAGGCUAAGCGAUACUACGAGCUGAUUGAAAAAGAUACUGUUAAGUUUGGAAACAGCAGCCGCGAAUAUGUUCUGCUGCACGAGAAUUCGGCUGGAUGAUCGAUGCUUACGUUGCUUCCCAGUGGAAUUUUAUCAUCUGCCCUGGAUGAUGUUUAAUGAGUCCAGCUAGCUCGAGUUCGAAAAACUACUCUUGAGUAUGAUCUAUCUGCAACUUAGAGAAAUGGCAGUAUUUAAGUUAGUCCUGAUAUUCAAUUUUCAACAUGCUGACCUGUAUGAUCCAAAUAUACAACAUGCAUGAUUUGUAUAUUAACAAAAAUUAUAUUCAUAUGGCACACCUAUGAACUAUGUAUUUAUAGAAACAUGUGUUGUGUGUACGGUUUGUAUGAUUA